GACGAACGCUGGCGGUGUGCUUAACACAUGCAAGUCGAACGGUAAGGCCCUUUCGGGGGUCCACGAGUGGCGCACGGGUGAGUAACACGUGAGUAACCUGCCCUCAUCUCUGGGAUAACAGUCGGAAACGGUUGCUAAUACUGGAUAUGAGCUUGCAAGGCAUCUUGUGGGUUGGAAAGAUUUUUUUUGGUUGGGGGUGGACUCGCGGCCUAUCAGCUUGUUGGUGAGGUAGUGGCUCACCAAGGCUUCGACGGGUAGCCGGCCUGAGAGGGCGACCGGCCACAUUGGGACUGAGAUACGGCCCAAACUCCUACGGGAGGCAGCAAUGGGGAAUAUUGCACAAUGGACGGAAGUCUGAUGCAGCAACGCCGCGUGCGGGAUGACGGCCUUCGGGUUGUAAACCGCUUUCAAUUGUGACGAAGCUUUUUUGUGACGGUAGCAGUAGAAGAAGCACCGGCUAACUACGUG
rnacentral:rRNA from 1 species